AUGAACGCUGGCGGCGUGCCUAAUACAUGCAAGUCGAACGAGUUCUGAUUAUUGAAAGGUGCUUGCAUCUUGAUUUAAUUUUGAACGAGUGGCGGACGGGUGAGUAACACGUGGGUAACCUGCCCUUAAGUGGGGGAUAACAUUUGGAAACAGAUGCUAAUACCGCAUAAAUCCAAGAACCGCAUGGUUCUUGGCUGAAAGAUGGCGUAAGCUAUCGCUUUUGGAUGGACCCGCGGCGUAUUAGCUAGUUGGUGAGGUAACGGCUCACCAAGGCAAUGAUACGUAGCCGAACUGAGAGGUUGAUCGGCCACAUUGGGACUGAGACACGGCCCAAACUCCUACGGGAGGCAGCAGUAGGGAAUCUUCCACAAUGGACGCAAGUCUGAUGGAGCAACGCCGCGUGAGUGAAGAAGGCUUUCGGGUCGUAAAACUCUGUUGUUGGAGAAGAAUGGUCGGCAGAGUAACUGUUGUCGGCGUGACGGUAUCCAACCAGAAAGCCACGGCUAACUACGUGCCAGCAGCCGCGGUAAUACGUAGGUGGCAAGCGUUAUCCGGAUUUAUUGGGCGUAAAGCGAGCGCAGGCGGUUUUUUAAGUCUGAUGUGAAAGCCCUCGGCUUAACCGAGGAAGUGCAUCGGAAACUGGGAAACUUGAGUGCAGAAGAGGACAGUGGAACUCCAUGUGUAGCGGUGAAAUGCGUAGAUAUAUGGAAGAACACCAGUGGCGAAGGCGGCUGUCUGGUCUGUAACUGACGCUGAGGCUCGAAAGCAUGGGUAGCGAACAGGAUUAGAUACCCUGGUAGUCCAUGCCGUAAACGAUGAAUGCUAGGUGUUGGAGGGUUUCCGCCCUUCAGUGCCGCAGCUAACGCAUUAAGCAUUCCGCCUGGGGAGUACGACCGCAAGGUUGAAACUCAAAGGAAUUGACGGGGGCCCGCACAAGCGGUGGAGCAUGUGGUUUAAUUCGAAGCAACGCGAAGAACCUUACCAGGUCUUGACAUCUUUUGAUCACCUGAGAGAUCAGGUUUCCCCUUCGGGGGCAAAAUGACAGGUGGUGCAUGGUUGUCGUCAGCUCGUGUCGUGAGAUGUUGGGUUAAGUCCCGCAACGAGCGCAACCCUUAUUGUUAGUUGCCAUCAUUUAGUUGGGCACUCUAGCGAGACUGCCGGUGACAAACCGGAGGAAGGUGGGGAUGACGUCAAAUCAUCAUGCCCCUUAUGACCUGGGCUACACACGUGCUACAAUGGAUGGUACAACGAGUUGCGAGACCGCGAGGUCAAGCUAAUCUCUUAAAGCCAUUCUCAGUUCGGACUGUAGGCUGCAACUCGCCUACACGAAGUCGGAAUCGCUAGUAAUCGCGGAUCAGCACGCCGCGGUGAAUACGUUCCCGGGCCUUGUACACACCGCCCGUCACACCAUGAGAGUUUGUAACACCCGAAGCCGGUGGCGUAACCCUUUUAGGGAGCGAGCCGUCUAAGGUGGGACAAAUGAUUAGGGUG
rnacentral:rRNA from 1 species